ACGAUGAUCUUGUACGAGUCGUUAAGGCUAUAUUCCCCAAUAACAGUACUUGCCCGACGAAUUUAUGAAGACAUUACGCUAGGAGAAGUAUCUCUACCAACUGGUGUGCUAGUCUCAUUGCCAAUUAUCUUAUUGCAUCAUGAUAAAGAUAUAUGGGGUGAAGAUGCAAACAAGUUCAAUCCAGAGAGAUUUAGAGAAGGAAUAUCAAGUGCAACAAAGGGUCAAGUUACAUAUUUUCCAUUUGCUUGGGGUCCAAGAAUAUGCAUUGGACAAAAUUUUGCCAUGUUAGAGGCAAAGAUGACUGUGUGUAUGAUCCUACAAAGCUUCUUUUUUGAAUUGUCUCCAUCCUACACACAUGCUCCUCAGUCCUUGGUAACCACUCAGCCUCAGUAUGGUGCUCCACUUAUUUUCCACAAACUAUAAUUUCAUAUUCUGUGAAGAGUUCAUUCAGACUCGAUUCAUGGGUGGAGUUACAAUAUUAAAUAUGGGUUCAGAAACAGUUUCUCUAUUUCAUAAAGAUAGGGGAUUAUGUGGUGUACUCUCCACUCUCCCCUGACCCUCACAUUGGGUAUGUUGUUUUUGUUGUUCAGACAAACUCAGUAGUUUUGGUUUAAAUCUUGCAUUUGUUUCGGGAAAUCCAUUAAAAAUACUAUACAUGGGAAUCCGUGCUAGCACGAGCCUAAUAUAUGUUGCUCUCUUAAUAUCAAAUUAUGUGAUAUAGUUGAAAUUUGGAGAAGUACCCCUAUUUUUUAUAUGGUUGUUAAAUAUUUUAAGCUGUCUACAUUAUUAUGUUUCAAUAAUUUUUAAAAUAUUCACCGAACUAUUUUUUCAAUUACUAAUUCUUUGUGAAAAUAAUAAGAAAAUACUCUCUUCCAAGACACUAAUCAUUUUUGACUUUGUCGAUUUCUUUUGCCUUUUCAUAAAAUAAAAUAGAUACAUAUUUUCCAUACGUAGUAGAUUCAAAUCGAAAAAUCAAAUCUAAAUAAUUUUGAUUCUCACAUUAAUAAACUGAAAAUCAAAUUGAAUAAAUAGAACUCGAUGUCAGCCGCUAAAAUUAAUAAGAUGAGGAAAAAAAGUGAAUGAUUUUGAUUUACAUGCGAUGAUUUUUUCAGUGGCAGGCUAAGUGUACGACUAUUGUACAUUGCUGGGAUGUGUGGAGGGUGGGGAUUCAAUCUAUGUUUUUUAGGAUUAUAAUUACAAAAAAGUCCUCAGAUAUUUGCCUUUGCUCAUCAAUGUCUUAAUUUCCCACAAACAUGGUAGAUAUAAAUAUAUAGUAGUAAUUUAUAUGCACACAUAAAUUUAAUUCAAACAAAAUGGACAAAAUUCAAAUAUUAGUAACAAUAUGUUGUUGUGUCAUAGCAGUUGCUCUGUUUGUGUGUCUAUGGAAAGUACUAAAUUGGGUUUGGUUCAGACCAAAGAAGUUGGAGAAAUUGUUGAGGAAACAAGGGCUAAAAGGGAAUUCAUACAGAAUAUUGUAUGGUGAUAUGAAAGAUUUUUCUGGGAUGAUUAAAGAAGCAAAUUCAAAGCCUAUGAAUAUUUCUAAUGAUGAUUUAUCCCCAAGAUUGGUGCCUUUCUUUCUUGAAAUCAUCAAGAAAUAUGGUAAGUUUUCGAACUCUGAUAACGGGUAAAGUUGUUGGCAUGUGAUUAGGAAGUUGUAGAUUCUAGCUGUGGAAACAGUCUCUUGCAGAAAUGUAGGAGCUUAGUGCAAACCCAUAGCUAAUAUUGUAGCUCCGCAAUCAUCAAGUAACUUAGAUAAGGAGUUUAAUUAUACAAUCAGGUUACUUAUUCUACAAUUACAAGCAAAUUUCCUGGUAAAUAUUAGUAACUGAUAGAAAACUAAAAAUAAAGUAGGGGUGGCAAAAUCAAACGCAACCCAUCCAAUUCGUUUAAGUUGACCCGCUCAUUCAUGAAGUUAAUGAGUUUUGAACUUGACAUCCAUAGCCCUUUUUUAGUUAUUGAGCAACUCUUGAAGUUGAUGUCAUGUAAUAAGAAAAUCACGGGGUUCAAGUCGUAGAACCAACCUUAUGUAGACGUGCACUUUCCGUAGAAAUGUGGGUAACCUUGCUUACAAUAGACUCUUGUAGUUCGUUCCUUUACACACCUGUGCAUAGCAGGAGCUUUAGUGGAUCGGACUACCUUAUACUAACUACUAAUCAGUGAUAUAAUGAUACAAGUAGUUAGAUUAGAUUCAUUAAUUUGUUAUCCAUUCACAAAUCUCUCAUUCAUUUUCACACACAGAGUUAGGAUUUGAAGUUCAAGCUUUUUGAACUUGAAGUUGUACCCAUAGUUCUCUUUAGUUACAAGGUUUGCAAUUAAAUAUCUAUACAUAUUUAUUGAACUUCCUAAUACAAAUAAGCAGUUUAGCUAGAAGCUCCUUGGUGUAUGCAGUUUGUUUCAACUUUUUUUCGAAUUCGAUGAAAUUGUAAUGAGCCUGUUCUCCUGGUUUGUUUAUCUUCUAAAGAACACUCUGUUCAUUUCGUUCUCUUCGAUUGUAUAGAUGUUUUAUUUCGAAAUUUGUACUAGUUGUAGUUAAUCAUGAGACAUAUACAUGUUUGCAGGGAAAAAAUGUUUUACAUGGAUGGGUCCAAGACCACAAAUACUAAUCAUGGAUCCUGAGCUUAUAAAGGAAGUACUCUCGAAAACCUAUGUUUAUCAAAAGCCUCAUGCAAAUCCAUUAGGCACAUUAUUUGUGCAAGGAUUAGUAACCUAUGAGAAAGACAAAUGGGCAAAACAUAGAAAAAUCAUCAAUCCCGCGUUCCAUCUAGAGAAGUUAAAGGUUUGUCAUUCGACUUCGUGAUUGGUCAACCAGAAACUAUUAUGUUGGGCAAUUCAUACUCUAUGUGUGCUAUUGCUUCUAUCUCCUUUGAUUUGCCUUCCUUAUGUCAUUUGACUAUUUCGAGUAAUAUGAUAUUUGCUGCCUGACUUGAUGUAGACAAUAGUGGUUCUAUAGGGACGGAUCUCGCCUGGAUCAUGAUUCAAUGUUCUAGAUUGUUCUUCCACCAAUCGAUAAUAUGUUCACUCUUGCUUCUUGUAUGUUCCACAUAUGACUAUAUUGAGUGAUUUCUACUACCUAGCUUGAGUUAGACAAUCAGAGAAUGAUUUUAUGGUUCAAAGAAGUCGAAUCUUGUUUGGAUCAUCAUUUGUCAGGACUCUCUUUGCGUAAGUUCCUUGGCUUGGACAGGGCAUUUAGUCCAUGUUGUUCUUUAUGCAUUCAGAGAGGACUAUGUUCGGUGGAAUAAUUUCUUAGAUAUGUUUACUAGAUGGUGAUGGAAUACGUGUUCCUUAUUCUGUUCAAGUGUUAGUGUUAUUGACAUUUUCCCUCGUUCACUAUUUUCUCGAACAGCAUAUGCUUCCAGCUUUUUACUUGAGCUGUAGUGAGAUGCUGAGUAAAUGGGAAGACGUUGUUCAAGUUGAAGGCUCUCAUGAGAUAGAUGUAUGGCCUCACCUGCAGCAAUUGACUUGUGAUGUGAUCUCUCGGACAGCUUUUGGCAGUAGUUAUGAAGAAGGUAGAAAGAUUUUUGAACUUCAACAGGAACAAACUCAGCAUUUUCUCGAAGUUACACGCUCAGUUUAUAUCCCAGGAUGGAGGUAACUUAAUUCUCCUAAGAAUUUGGAAAUGUAGCUAUUGGAAAUGCAAAUUGAUUAGUUCUAUUUUUUGUGAAUGCAUUUUGGUUUUGUGUUUCAUAAAACAAUUUCAAAGAUUUUUGCCAACAAAGAGGAACAGAAGAAUGAAGGAAAUAAAAAAGGAUGUUCGGUCCUCAAUUAGAGGUAUUAUUGAUAAAAGAUUGAAGGCAAUGGAAGCAGGGAACGCCGAUAAUGAGGAUCUAUUGGGCAUAUUGCUGGAAUCGAAUUUUAAAGAAAUUGAACUGCACGGAAACAAGGACUUUGGAAUGAGUAUCGAAGAAGUCAUUGAAGAAUGCAAGCUAUUCUAUUUUGCUGGUACAGAAACUACAUCAGUGUGGAUUCUGUGGACUCUGGUGUUGUUGAGCAGAUGUCCAGAUUGGCAGGCACGGGCCAGAGAGGAAGUCUUGCAAGUGCUUGGGAGUCGGAAACCAGAUUUUGAUGGAUUAAAUCAUCUAAAAGUUGUAAGUAUUCUUGUUGUUUGGUUCAAUUUCUAUGCCAUGGGUACUCUCGUUGUUAUUUCUACAAGCACGUGUGAAUUUCUUUUGAUUAUCUCGUUCAUGCUUGCUUAACUGAUAGAGGAGCAUUUCUGUUACAGGUAACAAUGAUCUUGUACGAGUCGUUAAGGCUAUAUUCCCCAAUAACAGUACUUACCCGACGAAUUUAUGAAGACAUUACGCUAGGAGAAGUAUCUCUACCAACUGGUGUGCUAGUCUCAUUGCCAAUUAUCUUAUUGCAUCAUGAUAAAGAUAUAUGGGGUGAAGAUGCAAACAAGUUCAAUCCAGAGAGAUUUAGAGAAGGAAUAUCAAGUGCAACAAAGGGUCAAGUUACAUAUUUUCCAUUUGCUUGGGGUCCUAGAAUAUGCAUUGGACAAAAUUUUGCCAUGUUAGAGGCAAAGAUGACUUUGUGUAUGAUCCUACAAAGCUUCUCUUUUGAAUUGUCUCCAUCCUACACACAUGCUCCUCAGUCCUUGGUAACCACUCAGCCUCAGUAUGGUGCUCCACUUAUUUUCCACAAACUAUAAUUUCAUAUUCUGUGAAGAGUUCAUUCAGACUCUAUUCAUGGGUUGAGUUACAAAUAUUAAAUAUGGGUUCAGAAACAGUUUCUCUAUUUCAUAAAGAUAGGGGAUUAUGUGGUGUACUCCCCACUCUCCCCUGACCCUCACAUUGGGUAUGUUGUUUUUGUUGUUCGGACAAACUCAGUAGUUCUGGUUUAAAUCUUGCAUUUAUUUUUGGAAAUCCAUUAAAUAUUUUACACAGGAACCCGUGCUAGCACGAUCCCAAUAUAUGUUGCUCUCUCAAUUUCAAUUUAUGUGACAUAGUUGAAAUUUGGAGAAUUACCCCUAUUUUAUAUGGUUUUUUAAAUAUUUUAGGUUGUCUACAUUAUUAUGUUUCGUAUUGAAUAAUUUUUAAAAUAUUCACUGAACGAUUUUUUCAAUUAUUAAUUCUUUGUGAAAAUAAUAAGAAAAUGCUCUCUUCCAAGACACUAAUCGUUUUUGACUGUCGAUUUCUUUUGCCUUUUCAGAAAAUAAAAUAGACAUAUAUUUUCCAUACACAGUAGAUUCAAAUAGAAAAAUCAAACCUAAAUAAUUUUGAUUCUCACGUUAAUAAAUUGAAAAUCAAAUUGAAUAAAUAAAACUCGAUGUCAGCCUCUAAAAAUAAUAGAUGAAAAAAAGAGUAAAUGAUUUUAUUGAUUGAUAUUAUGCUUUUCUAUUAUUUCAAGAAAGCAAGACGUUUGAACGUAGUUAUGUGUUACAUGCCAUGAUUUUUUUUACUGUUGCACAUUGAUGGGAUGUGUCUGAGGGUGUGGAGAUACAAUCUAUGUUUUUUAGGAUUAUAAUUACAAAAAAGUCCUCAGAUAUUUUCCUUUUGCUCAUCAGUAUCUUAAUUUCCCACAAACAUGGUAGAUAUAAAUAUAUAGUAGUAAUUUAUAUGCACACAUAAAUUUAAUUCAAACAGAAUGGACAAAAUUCAAAUAUUAGUAACAAUAUGUUGUUGUGUCAUAGCAGUUUCUCUGUUUGUGUGUCUAUGGAAAGUACUAAAUUGGGUUUGGUUCAGACCAAAGAAGUUGGAGAAAUUGUUGAGGAAACGCCAAUUUCUUAAUAAUUCAGUAUUUUAGACGAAGAAAAGUUCAUAUGACUUGUAAUAGCGCUAAUUGAAGUUUGAAUUAGUUUACUUUUUAUUAUUUAUUUAAUAGCUAGUUUUAUGAGAUAAAUAUUUUCAUUAAUGCAAAUAGGUAUUUGUAUUUAAAUUAAAGUAUUAUAUAUGUCAGAAAUGUAUUAUCAAGUUAACGAGAUCUUCUAACUUGAAAAUAUAUUAUUUUAAAAUGUCUGAGUUCUUUUUUAAAAAAAAAAAACUCACAACAAAAUGUGAAAAUAUGUGAAUAUAUAAAAUGUAGUUGUUCUCUUCACAUGUUCAUAUGACAUCUAAACAAUUUAACGUAGAAUACACAUGCAAAUCACAUCUGGUUAGAUGACAAGAAAAAUACAAAACAAACAUUGUCUAUAAGGUAAUAUUAGUGAGAUAAGACUAAUUACAUGAUUGAACCUAAUCAAAUUGAAAUAAAUAUAUACAUAAUUGCAUUUAACUAAUAAUUUUUUUUCAUUGACCAUCUUAAUAGGUUUGCGUGAAUACGAGAUAUAUAUGACGAUUCACAUUAAACAUUCACAAAAGAAUCUGCAAUAUUAUUUUUUGCUAACUUAUUAUUCAAAUCUUCGAUUAAAUAAGCAAUUCUAUUUACCAUAACAUAUAUUUUUGAAAUUGGUUAUCACGUGCAACGCAAGGUAGUAUUAGGUUAGCAACGCUUUCAAUCUUCAUUAGCGUAAUCAAGUUGGAACAAAACUAGCCUAUUACAUGAAACUAAUCAAAAUGUCUUUGGUCAUAUUUAUAGGUCCGGUUGAAAAAGAGACGAGCUAACCAUCAGAAUGCAACUUUUGAAGGAAAUACAACUAUUGUGAAAACUUUGAUAUUGAUAAUUAGGAUACAAAUGACUUCAAACUCUUGGAAGGUAUCCGCUAUUUUGGAACAAUGUCAUAAACAAAACCAAAUGUAGCUUCGAGCAAUAUUACAUAUCCGCUUAUUAUUUUGAGCUUUCGCACCACUAAAUGCAUCUAAUUCAAGACAAUUUGUCGGACUAAAUGGAGUAUUAUUUGUAAACAAAUAUUUGGUAACUAAGAAACAUCCAUACAAACAAAUCCCUUAAGACAUAUGCCAUAUAUUGAACAAAGAGAGUGUGCAUGCUUUACUGCUUCACAGUUGUAGGCAUGAACUAAUAUUUAGUAACUAAGAAACAUCCAUACCGACAAAUUCCUUAAAGACAUAUUCCAUAUAUUGAACAAAGCGAGUAUUCAUGCUUUACUGCUUCACAGUUGAACGCAUCAUGAGACUAGGCAACCACGUGCAACGCACGUACGGUGAAUCUAGUAUAUAUAUAUAUAUAUCCCUACUUUUAUACCAAUGACACUCACGUCUAUUGUCUAAUCUAAAUGGUCCUUAAGUUAAGAAGAUGGUCCCAUGCCUAAUCAAACUAGUCCUUUAAUGUAUAGGGGUUGGUUUGUUUUUUAUCCUUAUACUCAUUGACCAAUAUAAAAUUUAAAUAAAUAAGGAAAAAAGAUCUGAUAUAUUCUCAUCUUUGUCAUUUAGAAUUGAUAUAAUUUUUGUUAUAAAAGCAACUCACAUAUAUUUCUACUAUUACACAAAUGACUCACAUUUACCAUUUUCUUCGUGAGUGAAAGAAUUUAUUUUAAUUUUUAAUUUUUUUAAUUAAAAGAAAUAAUUCAUGUAGGGGUAUAUAUAUAUAAAAUUGGGGUAGAGGAAAUGGGGAGGAGAUUAUAACGUGGGGAGUCGAACCCACACCAAUAAGAUGGGAGUUCAAAUAGUCAAUCAACGUAGGGAUAUAUUUGAUCCUUCUCAUUCGUAUUUUUUUUAUUCAACAACUUUUGCAUUAAAGGACUAGUUUGAUUAGACAUGGGACCAUCUUCUUAACUUCAUGGGUUAAAACACACAAAAAAAAUGUGGAGAACAGGAUUGCAAAGUGGACAAGUAAAAGUGAAACGAGUCAUUAGAAAAUAAAAGAAAAUCCGAGCCAUUCUUGUUAUCUUAGGAUAUAUAAUUACGAAAAAAACCUCAGAUAUUUGUAUAAAUAAGUAAUAGGAACACAUAAAUUUAACUCAAACAAAAUGGAAAAAAUUCAAAUAUUAGUAACAGUAUGUUGUUCUGCCAUAGCAAUUACUCUGUUUGUGUGUCUAUGGAAAGUACUGAAUUGGGUUUGGUUCAGACCAAAGAAGUUGGAGAAAUUGUUGAGGAAACAAGGGCUAAAAGGUAAUUCAUACAGAUUAUUGUAUGGAGACAUGAAAGAUCUUUCUGGGAUGAUUAAGGAAGCUAAUUCUAAGCCCAUGAAUUUGUCUGAUGAUAUAACUCCAAGAUUGGUGCCUUUCUUUCUUGAAACCAUCAAGAAAUAUGGUAUGUACUAAAUGUCCUUUUUUUUUUGUUUAUUUAGAGAAUGAUUUGUUAUGCUUUCCUUUGUAUCUGCUUUGAUAUGUUUUUCCUCAAGUCAGAGGUCUAUCAGAAAUAAUCUCUAACCCAAGGCAGGGUAAGGUGUGCACAUGCUCUCCUCCAGACCCCACUUGUAGGAUUAUAUAGAGUAUGUUAAAAGAAAAAUAAGUCCCUUUGUGGAAUAGUUGUUUAGUAAUUUUAGGUACUUUUGAGAAAACUGAAGAUCUUAUAAGAAAACGUUAGAUCAUGCUCUAAAGUUUUGUACAUUAAUGCAAAUGUUAGAAGUCAAUUUCAUGUUUUGUCUGUAAGAUUAGGUAAUUUAUAAGCAAAACAUGUAUGGAGUGUACUCAAAGAUGCUUCUUAGGUAGAGGACGGGAAGUAUUUGUUCAAGAGUUGAAGAUAUAUUUUAGUAAAUAAAAACUGUGCUUUCUUUAAUACCUUAAACUUUUAGAUGGGUUGGUCACUCACAACAUGAUGUACGAGUAGGUAGAGGUUGUUACAGUGUCUAGUGGGUCAAAGUCCCACAUUGGUUGGGGAAUGGACUGGUGGUCUGCUUAUAUGGACUUGAGUAAUUCUCCUCUCAUGAACUAGCUUUUUGGGUUGAGUUAGACUCAUGUAUUAUAUCGUUAUUGAGGUCUUGGAUUGAGUCUGACGGCCACACACCUAUUAUAAAAAGAAUAUACACGUGAAUCAAACAAUGAUUGUGAUUAAUGAAGGUCUUGGAUUGAGUCCGAUGGCCAUACACCUAGGAGUAUUGUCAAAAAGAAUAUACACGUGAAUCAAACAAUGAUUGUGAUUAAUGAAGGUCUUGGAUUGAGUCCGACGGCCACACACCUAUUAUAAAAAGAAUAUACACAUGAUCAAACAAUGAUUGUGAUUAAUGAAGCUGAUUUAAUUGAGAAUGAUAAUAUAAGCUUUACAUAAUCCAAAUUAAACUUGUCCUUAAUUACAUAUGCUUGCAGGAAAAAAAUCUUUUAUUUGGUUGGGUCCAAAACCACAAGUACUAAUCAUGGACCCGGAGCUUAUAAAGGAAGUAUUCUCGAAAAACUAUUUGUAUCAAAAGCCUUAUGCUAAUCCAUUUGCACCAUUAUUGGUACAAGGACUAGCAACCUAUGAGGAAGACUGUUGUACAUUGCUGGGAUGUGUGGAGGGUGGGGAUUCAAUCUAUGAUUUUUAGGAUUAUAAUUACAAAAAAGUCCUCAGAUAUUUGCCUUUGCUCAUCAAUGUCUUAAUUUCCCACAAACAUGGUAGAUAUAAAUAUAUAGUAGUAAUUUAUAUGCACACAUAAAUUUAAUUCAAACAAAAUGGACAAAAUUCAAAUAUUAGUAACAAUAUGUUGUUGUGUCAUAGCAGUUGCUCUGUUUGUGUGUCUAUGGAAAGUACUAAAUUGGGUUUGGUUCAGACCAAAGAAGUUGGAGAAAUUGUUGAGGAAACAAGGGCUAAAAGGGAAUUCAUACAGAAUAUUGUAUGGUGAUAUGAAAGAUUUUUCUGGGAUGAUUAAAGAAGCUAAUUCAAAGCCUAUGAAUAUUUCUAAUGAUGAUUUAUCCCCAAGAUUGGUGCCUUUCUUUCUUGAAAUCAUCAAGAAAUAUGGUGAGUUUUCGAACUUUGAUAACUGGUAAAGUUGUUGGCAGGAAGUUGUAGAUUCGAGCUGUGGAAACAAUCUCUUGUAGAAAUGCAGGAGCUUAGUGCAAAUCCAUAGCUAAUACUGUAGCUCCGCAAUCAUCAAGUAACUUAGAUAAGGAGUUUAAUUAUACAAUCAGGUUACAUAUUCUGCAAUUACAAGCAAUUUCCUGGUAAAUAUUAGUAACUGAUAGAAAACUAAAAAUAAAGUAGGGGUGGCCAAAAUCAAACGCAACCCGUCCAAUUCGUUUAAGUUGACCCGCUCAUUUAUGAGUUCAAUCUAACCAAUUUCAACCCGCUAAAAGUUUGGGUUUAUAUGUAACCGAAGUGGUCUCACGGGAAAUCUUGUCAAAAAAAUUUAAAAUUCUUUUUUUUCAAUUUAAUUGUAUUAUAUAGCCAUAAAUCAUAAUAAAGAAAAAUAAUAAUUUUAUUAGGUGCUAAAAUAUUUUAAAAGACAGAGUAAAACAAUUAAAGUUAGUAAAAAUUGAGUUUGAUUGGAUCUUCACCCGUUAUAUGACCCAUUAUCUAAUCCAUUUUAACCCAAGCAAAUUUGGAUUGGGUUGGGGCUUCACCCGAUUGUUGUCUUUUAAGACAAAAUGGCACAACAUAACACCAUAUAGACUUAAUUAGCAAUAAAUAACCCACUUUUAAUUUUUUAGCAAAAAAAAAACUUUGUUUUAUUUAUUUGGCAUUGAAUAGUUAUUUUUCUUUUUCUUAAAAAAAUGUAUUUUUGUUCUCCUUUUUUUUUUUCUCAAACACACCUUUGAUUGCUGCUUUUUUUUUUUGAAAAGAAAAAAAAUAUUAUUUUAUUAUCCCUAUUUUAUCUCUUUGUUUCUUUUGUCAACCGGUUUAAAAUAGAGUUCUUCUCUUUUUUGUCUCCUUUUUCUCUUUCUAAAAUUCUUUUCAUACGUAUAUUUGAUUCUCUCCCUAACUUUCAAUUCUUCUCCUUAAUUCAAUUUGUUUAUGAAAAUCAGAUAUAACAAUAUGUUUUUUCAUGGAUACUUCUACAAAUCAUCUUUAUAUAUAAUCUUGUUCUUGUCCAAUUAAUUGUUUGUCACGACCCAAAAAUGGACGUGAUGACACUCAUCUUAUCCCACCAAAACAGGUCAGCCCUAAACUCAACCAUUACAAUAAAAUGCAGAAAUUUCAUAAUCAACUCAAAAAUACCCCAAAAUCUGAUUGUCACGUGUACAAGCCUCUAAAGUAUUACAAUUGAUUCAAAAGAAAAACACAAGUCUCAAAUGACCUUGUUUCUAGAAUAGAACGAGAUCAUAAAUAGGAGUAAGAAGGUCUGCUGAGAUUACAAACAGCUACCUCACAAAUCUCCAAGAAGCCUCGGAAAAUAAGAGAAUGGAAAGUAUCACAAAAUCCAGGCUCGUAACCUACAAAAAAAUUGUAGAAGCAAGGGGUGAGUACCAAACCACACAGUACUUAGCAAGUAAACCUCUAAACACAAGCUAAUGGGAUAGAAUACAGGUACUCCUUAUACCCCACCCGAACCUCCACAACUACAACCUGCAUAAAACCAGCCCAACCUAACUGUUCACAGUUUACAUAUCACCCAGCUCAACAACAAUCACUUUAACAAAUUACAUAUCCUCAACAACAAACUCAAUAUUCAUCAAUCACAACUUUCACAAAAAGGCACUCACAAAUAUCAGCAACACACAAGAUCAAGUUCAUCAAAUAUCAAGUGCUUUCCAACCACCAAUAAAACACAUAAUCAUCAAGAAUGAAAAAUGUCAUGGGAUGCAAUGCAAUAUGACACCAUGAAAUGAUAUGCCUCAAAAUACCAAGUACUCUCUCAACCGUAUAUACAUGAUACUCCUCGAAAAUACAUCAAGAGUUCAUGACCCAUGGGGGACUCGCGAGGUCCAUAUACCGACACGGACGAUCUCCACGUGUCUGUGCGGACGAUCUCAACGCACUAUCAUAAAUCAAGCAAAAUUCGCACGAACGAUCUCCACGUGCCCAAAUUAUAAUUUUAACAUCUCACCAUCCCCAACACGGACGAUCUCCACGUGCCUAACUUAUACUCAAUCACAUGUCAAUGCAUGUGCACAAUAUGAUUUCAAUAAAAAGGAUGAUGCAUCUCAAUCAAAUAUCAAUAUGAUAUGUAAUCACCUCAGCUAUCACCAGUAUACGGGUUCAAUAAAGAACACAAUCACACAUAAUAAAUCAAGUCAAUAAUAUAUCAGUUAAUGCCCAUAUGCUUUGGCAUUCUCGGAUUACAAUCCGCAUUCUAUAGUAAUAAACUUUCCCUUAUAACACCGGUACUCGUACCAAUGCCCGUCACAAACAGUUCUUAACACAUCACACACAAACAAUUAAUCACAUUGCCUUUUAUUACCCUUUUUCAUCAUUAGAAUUAAUCAAUGUGGACAAGUUAAUCCGUCACCAAGUCUCAUUACCCCCAAACACAUAUUACAAGGAAAUACACGAAUUCCAUACACUUAACAAUGGUUUAGAAAUUCACUUGCCUCAAUCAAUUAAGAAUUCACUCCGGAACUUGAGCCUUCCCCUUUCGUUGAACUUCUAACUCAAAGCAAUCUAUUCAAAUAAAUGACCACAAUAAGAUUUCAAAACUAUCAACACUUAUAUUACUAUGUGUCUAGCUUAGACCCAAAACUCACCCGGAUUUAUAAUUAAGUUUCUAAAUCUUGAUUCCAACCAAUAGGUCAAAUCUCAUAUUUCCUGAAUUUCAAGUCUAGGGUUAAAUCAUAAUUUCUCCAAACACUACAACCCUAAUAGUUUUCAUAUAAUAUAAUACACUCAAUAUUUAAUAAUAAUAAUGAUAAAUAAAUAAUUAAAAUAGAACCCAACGUCAAGUUACUAUAUCAGUAACUUAAGUCUAAGAAACUCAAUUUGCAGAUUGUGAAUUCAAUGUCAAAAUACAAGUAAUUAUUAAAUCAUUAGUAAGUAUAGGAUCAUCCAAUCAUUAUCUAAUGAUUACAUCCAUAUGGCAUGAAGGUAUUUGUUUCUCCAAGUAAAAAAAAAUACAUUAGAAUAGGUAUAUCCAUUCCUACUUGCAAUUCAAUUAUACUUACUUUUCACUUGCAACCCCACUUUAAUUCACAAUAACAAUGAUAUGUUCUUACCCAUAUAUACAAAUACAAAAAUUCAGGCAAUGAUGAUGAUUACAUUACCUGAACAGAAGGUCGCUUAAAGUUCUCUUCGUCUCCUUCGGUUACAGAUUUUAGCCGCAACUGAUUAAAUAUAAUACUAAUUACCUUUAACUCUGAAUUAUUUAAUUUUUACAUGGGCUAAGUGGUAUAGGAUAUUACUUAUAUGAGCAACUUCACAUAUAGCAAACAUAAAUUCAUAUUGUAUGCUAUAGCAAAGUUUGCAUAAUGCACUCCACAGCAAACAUAAAUAAUGUAUAUUUCGCUAUACAUAUACAAAAGAAAGCAGUUGUAUAAUCUGUUUUCGUAUACAUAUACAAAAAGAUCAAUUGUAUAAAGUGAGAGAGGCGAGUGAGAGAGCGAGAUCUGGGAGAGUGGCGAGCGAGAUUUGGUAGAGGGGAGAGAGGGGAACGGAAAUAUAUGUAUAUAUACAAUUUUCACGCAUUUUAUACAUUUGCGUUUUUGUAUAAAGUGGGAGAGACGAGUGAGAGAGUUAGAUCUGGGAGAGUGGCGAGCGAGAUUUGGUAGAGGGGAGAGAGGGGAACGGAAAUAUAUGUAUAUAUACAAUUUUCACGCAUUUGAUACAUUUGCGUUUUUGUAUAAAGUGAGAGAGCGAGAUCUGGGAGAGUGGCGAGCGAGAGCUGGGAGAGGGGAGAGAGGGGAACGAAAAUAUAUGUAUAUAUACAAUUUUCUCUCGCUUUAUACAAACACAAACGCACUUUAUACACUUGCGUUUGUAUAAAAAACAAGAGAUCGAGGGAGAGAAUGAGAGUGGCGAGCAAGAUUCACCAGGAGAGAGGUGAAAUAACAACAGUUUGCUAUGAGGUACAAUUAAAUCAAACUAUAUUUAUAGCAUUUAAUUUGAAUUAAUAGUUUGCUAUUAUAUACAAUUUUCCCUUAAAUAUAUUACUAGCUACCUAUUAUAUUAUAUGUGUGUGUGCAUUCACAUAUAGUAGGGGAGUAAUAUAUAUAUUUUUGGUGAAGGACCUUUGCACAUGCAACAUUGUCUGGUAGAAGACUCCAAGAAAGCCCUCCAUUCACCCACCCAACCACCCCCCACCAAGAGAGGAAAAAAUAAUAUGUUUAAUUAGUCAUAGUAAUAAAUAAUAACUAAUUAUUUUUUAAAUAUGGUACGAACCAUCUCUUCAGGUUGAGAGCGGUAUAGAAUAACUAACUAUUCUCCUUGUUCCACUUUAAUUUGGUCACGUAUGUUCUAUUCAAGUAAUAGUUAGGCAGUAUUUAAGAUUUUUCAAUUCAACCUUUUUUUUUCUUUCUAAAAUCCUUUUCAUAUGUAUAUUUUCUUCUCUUCUAAAUUUUCUCUUAUUCUCCUUAAUUCACCCUGUCUAUGCAAAUCAGCUAUAACUGUAUGUUUAUCGAUUUAUCCUUCCAAUAAUUUCUUUUAAUAUAUAAUUAUGUAGUAUUUCUUGCCCCAUUAAUUUUGAAAUUUUGUGAUUUGUGGAACUAAAGGUUUUAAAACUUUUUUUGGCGAAAAUUCAAAUAAUAGUUUUUUGAAAUUUUUGUUCUCAAUUUCAUGGGUGAGAAAGAUUCUCGUAAGAUCCUUGUAAAAAAUCAAAAUGUUGAUGUUGAUGAAUACAACCCAAUGUAUACCAAUGAAUACCAAUCUCAAUUUAAAUUAAAGUAUACAAGUUUAUUAUGUGAAUAAAAAUCACUGAAUACACAGAUGAAUACGAACUAAUGUAUACAUAGUGCAGUUACCGUAUACAUAAACAAAAUCAUAUGUAUAUUAAUGAAUAAAAUUUAAUUUAUAUAUGUAUCAUAUUAAUCUCAUUGUUGUAUUCAUUAUAGUAAUACGUAUAAUUGAUGGUAAUAUUAUUUUAUAUAUACAAUAUAAAGUUUAUGUAUACAUGCUACAAUUACUGUUAUACAUCAAUAAAAUUUACACGUUUAUUUUUAUGAAUUAUUUUUUGUGUAUACAUUAUUUUUUAUGUAUACAUUAUGUAAUCGCAACUUUAAUUAUUGUAUAAUUUAUGCAUAUGUGUUAUUACAGUUUCUAAUAAAAUGCCAUUUAAUAUUAUUUGAUUAAUUAUUGUUGAUUAUGUGAUAAUUAAUACACGUUAGAGCAUUAAUAAUACAUCUUUUAAUAAGUUAUUUAAAGAAUUUUAAAAAAUUUAUUCCUUAAAAGUUGGUGUAAACCUUUUUUUAAUGGGUUAAUUAAUAAAUAUAUAUAUUUCACUUCUUAAAAAUAGGUAUUCGGUUUUCUAAUAAACUAAUUAUUGUUGAUUGGUAAAAAAAAACAAUUCAUAAAAUUACAAUCAAAUAUAUCUUUAUGUUUAUGUAAAUUGUGUUAAUAUUUUUUUAAAUAAACAGUUAAAUAAAGUUGAGUUUGAGAAUUUAAAGAAAUUGAAAAGCUAACUUCCUUAAUUAUAGGAGUUAAAAACAAGGAAGAAAAAAUAAUCCCACAUUUCCUUAAUUUAUGAGGGUUGGUUGCACAUGAUUAAAAGGAAAAAAACUAUAAAAAGUUGGUUUUAUUUCUUUUAGGUUAAUACGUGCUAAUUUUUUUAAGACUUUUAAUUGCUAAUUAAUAUUGGGCUAUAUGUUGCCAAUUGUAUAUAAUAGUUGUAUGUCUGUUCAAUUCCUCGUCUUUUAACUCAUUAUGACCCAUCCAAAUUUGACCCAACUCGCCCAAUUGCCACCACUGAAAUAAGGUAACUGAUUUGUUAUUGUAAAAUUAAAAUGCACCAACUUUUACACUUUGAAUUUUCUAGUGAAUCAAUCAGGUGAGUUUUGUUUUGGUGGAAUCAAUUCAAUAAAAGAAAAGAAGAAAUUCAAGUCAGUUGAUUUAAUAGUUGUGUCUGUUGAUAUCCACAUACUCAGUGUAGUCCCACAAGCGAGGUAUGUGGAGAGGGUACAAUGUAAACACAUACCUUUGCAGGCUAGAGAGGUUGUUUCUGAUAGACCCUCAGCUCAAAAGAGAGGAUAUUUGAAGCACGAUUGCAACACCUGUUGAUUGUGUGUGUAUAUAACUUAAAUCCAUUCACAAAUCCCUCAUUCAUUUCCUGUAUUGAAAUCACCUUUUCUGGUAGGAAACUUUUGCUUGUUGUCUGUAGUUUGUUUUGAUUUUCUUCGAAUUCGAUGAAGUUGUAAUGAACCUGUUCUCCUGACUUGUUUAUGUUCUAAAGAUCUCUCUGUUCAUUUCGUUCUCUUUGGUUGUAAAAAUGAGACAUAUAUAUGUUUGCAGGGAAAAAAUCUUUUAUAUGGAUGGGUCCAAGACCACAAGUAUUUAUCAUGGACCCUGAGCUUAUAAAGGAAGUAUUCUCCAAAAUCUCUGUGUAUCAAAAGCCUGGUACAAAUCCAUUAAGCGCCUUAUUGGUUCGAGGACUAACAACCUAUGAGGAAGACAAAUGGGCCAAACAUAGAAAAAUCAUCAAUCCCGCGUUCCAUCUAGAGAAGUUAAAGGUUUGUUAUUCAACUCACAAUUGGUCAACCAAAAACUAUUAUGUUGGGCAAUGCUUAAUUAACGAUGGAUGAAAUGUGUGCUCUUGCUGGCUAUGUCUUUCCAUCUCCUCUGAUUUGCAUUCCUUAUCGUUCAAUCUAAAUGUUUAUGUGAUAUGACUAUUUCGAGUAAUAUCUGCUAUCUGACUUGAAGUAGACAACUAUAUGGUUCUAUCUGCGCAUGUAUUCCACAUAUGACUAUAUGGAGUGAUUUCUGCUGCCUAGCUUUAGUUAGACAAUCAGAGAAUGAUUUUAUGGUUCAAAAAAGUCGAAUCAUAUCUGAAUCAUCAUUUAUCAGGACUCUCUUUGUGUAAGUUCCUUGGCUUGGACAGGGCAUUUAGUCCAUAUUGCUCUUUUAUGCAUUCAGAGAGGCCUAUGCUCGGUGGAAUAAUUUCUUAGAUGUAUUUACAACCAAAUGGAUCUGUUUAUUCCUGAACUUGUUUCACCUUAAUUGUUAUAUGAACGAUCUUUCUUUUCAUGUAACCAGCAACUUGUACUAGAUGGUGAUGCAUCGAUAUAUAUUUUCCUAAUUCUGUUCAAGUGUUAGUGUCAUUGACGUUUUUCUUCGUUCAGCAUAUGCUUCCAGCUCUUUACUUGAGCUGUAGUGAGAUGCUGAGCAAAUGGGAAGACGUUGUUCAAGUUGAAGGCUCUCAUGAGAUAGAUGUAUGGCCUCACUUGCAGCAAUUGACUUGUGAUGUGAUCUCUCGGGCUGCUUUUGGCAGUAGUUAUGAAGAAGGUAGAAAGAUUUUUGAACUUCAACAAGAACAAGUUCAGCAUGUAAUCGAAGCUGUACGCACAGUUUAUAUCCCAGGAUGGAGGUAAAUUAAUUCUCCUAAGAAUUUGGAAAAUGUAGUUAUUGGAAAUGCAAAUUGAUUGGUUUUCUGUUUUGUGAAAGAUUUUUGCCAACAAAGAAGAACAGAAGAAUGAAAGGAAAAUAAAAAAGGAUGUUCAGUCCUCAAUUAGAGGUAUUAUCGAUAAAAGAUUGAAGGCAAUGGAAGCUGGGGAUGCCGAUAAUGAGGAUCUAUUGGGCAUAUUGCUGGAAUCGAAUUUUAAAGAAAUUGAACAGCAUGGAAACAAACACUUUGGAAUGAGCAUUGAAGAAGUUAUUGAAGAAUGCAAGCUAUUCUAUUUAGCUGGCGCAGAAACUACAUCAGCAUGGCUCCUAUGGACUAUGGUGUUGUUGAGCAGAUAUCAGGAUUGGCAGGCACGGGCCAGAGAAGAAGUCUUGCAAGUGUUUGGGAGUCGGAAACCAGAUGUUGAUGGAUUAAAUCGUCUAAAAGUUGUAAGUAUUCUAGUUUUGUUGGUUCAAUAUAUCAGCAUGGCUCCUAUGGACUAUGGUGUUGUAUUGAUCGAGUGCUUGAAUUUUAAAAGACUGGAGCUUUGAUACUAGACUAGAAGAUGCCAAUUGCCAUGGUUUCCUUAGGAAGGGGCAACUCUUCUACAAGCACGUGUAAAUUUCUUUUGAUUAUCGGUAGUGUGAGACUUGAACGUAGGAUUUCUGCUUGCUUUGACAUCACGUUGAAUUGUGUGACUAUCUCAUCUAUUAGAGAAUUAUGUCUUCUAUAGCGGAAAUAAUCUCAUUUUCGUAACUUCUCUUUAUGUUGGUUACAAGCAAGAGUAUUACUCCAUUCAUAGGAAGUCAGCAAGAAGCCCCAUAACUUGAGGAUAAGGGGUGCCUCCUCACAAAGGGGGCCGCAUUAACCAGGCCUGUGCAACCGUUUACAAGAACUUAGGUCCCCACAAAGUUGUAAUUAGACCAUGUGUGGGGUCUUACGCCUGCUUAGUGCCAUAAGGUCAACUAAGUUGGUGACCUGAUGACAGGGGAGCCAGAAAUUUAAGUAACUUUUUACAGGUCUCGUUCAUGCUUAUAUAACUGAUGGAGGAGCAUAAGUUUUUUGCAGGUAACGAUGAUAUUGUACGAGUUAUUAAGGCUAUAUUCCCCUACAACAGCACUUAUCCGACGGGUUUAUGAAGACAUUACACUAGGAGAAGUUUCUCUACCAGCUGGUGUGCUAGUCUCAUUGCCAAUGAUCUUAUUGCAUCAUGAUAAAGAGAUAUGGGGUGAAGAUGCAAACAAGUUCAAUCCAGAGAGAUUUAGAGAAGGAAUAUCAAGUGCAACAAAGGGUCAAGUUACAUAUUUUCCAUUUUCUUGGGGUCCAAGAAUAUGCAUUGGACAAAAUUUUGCCAUGUUAGAAGCAAAGAUGACUCUGUGUAUGAUCCUACAAAGCUUCUCUUUUGAAUUGUCUCCAUCCUACACACAUGCUCCUCAGUCCUUGGUAACCACUCAGCCUCAGUAUGGUGCUCCACUUAUUUUCCACAAACUAUAAUUUGAUAUUUUGUGAGAGCUGUCUUGUAAUUUAAUAAAGUUUAUUCAAACUUGUUUAGGGGUGUAGUUACAACUAUAGAUACGGGUUAAGAAAUAACCUUUCUACCUCACAAGAAUAGGUAAGAUCUACUUAAACCUUAUGCUCACAAACUCCACUUGUAGAAUGUUUGGACGAAUUCAGUAACUCUUGUUUAAAUCUUGUAUUUGUAUCAAGAAAUCCAAUAAAUUUAUAUAUAAAUAUAUC
rnacentral:lncRNA from 1 species